CCAGAAACUUUCAGCCAAACUUCGGGCGGCGGCCUGGCUGCGCGGAGUGCCGGGGCGGCGUAGCGGCAGCUCCUGGACUCGGCGAGCCGCGGGGGCAGGGUAGAGCACGCGAGAGCGGGGCUCCUGGUCGGGACCCGCUCCCCAUGCGGAUCUGCUUUGGCUGCGGCAGUGAAGAUGCCCGCUCUGCGUCCCGCCGCGCUGCGGGCGCUGCUGUGGCUCUGGCUGUGCGGCGCGGGCCCCGCGCACGGCGCGGAGCUCGGCUGCGGUUCCAGUGUGCGUCCAGCCCCAGGAAUGUGGUGUGACGAUCCCCAACUCCUCCGACCUGGCAGCAGCUUGCUGCUCUUUUGGCACCGUUGGGGGUGGGGCAGGGGCGGGGGCAGGCGAGGAAAAGUGGAGACAGUGGUUGAUUCGUAGCGCUUGCUUAGAAAGGCUCGUUAUGGUGGGAUAUUCCUUGCCCCCUCUCUAACACGGUGGGAGCCAGGAAAGGAAAUCGAAUCAUACUUUGCCCAUUCCACCCACAUCUUUAGAUCUUACGUUUCUUUGGAAUGUUGUAUGGAAAGAACUUUGGAGCCCAGCUCUGUAAUCCUGGAUUCAAAUCUGCUGUAUUAACUCACCAAUAAAAUGGGGAUGAA
rnacentral:lncRNA from 1 species